rnacentral:rRNA from 1 species
UACGUAGGUGGCAAGCGUUGUCCGGAUUUAUUGGGUUUAAAGGGUGCGUAGGCGGGUAUUUAAGUCAGAGGUGAAAGACGGCCGCUCAACGGUCGCAGUGCCUUUGAUACUGGAUAUCUUGAGUGCAGACGAGGUCUGUGGAAUGGAUGGUGUAGCGGUGAAAUGCUUAGAUACCAUCCAGAACACCAAUUGCGAAGGCAGCAGACUAGGGUGCCACUGACGCUGAGGCACGAAAGUGCGGGGAUCAAACAGG